AACGUAGGAGACAAACGUUAUCCGGAGUUACUGGGCGUAAAGGGCGUGUAGGUGGUUGCGUAAGUCUGGCGUGAAAUUUUUCGGCUUAACCGGGAAAGGUCGUCGGAUACUGCGUAGCUAGAGGACGGUAGAGGCGUGUGGAAUUCCGGGUGUAGUGGUGAAAUGCGUAGAUAUCAGGAGGAACACCGGUGGCGAAGGCGGCUGCCUGGCCAAAUACUGACGCUGAGAUACGAAAGCGUGGGUAGCAAACAGG
rnacentral:rRNA from 1 species